UUAAGACUCAUGAAUUCAUACGAC
rnacentral:siRNA from 1 species